ensembl:rRNA 5S_rRNA 5S ribosomal RNA
GUCUACGACCAUACCAACCUGAACACAGGAGAUCUCAUCUGAUCUCGGAAGCCAAGCAGGGUCGGGCCUGUUUAGUACUUGGAUGGGAGACCGCCUGGGAAUACCGGGUGCUGUAGGCU